UACGUAGGGGGCAAGCGUUGUCCGGAAUCAUUGGGCGUAAAGAGCGUGUAGGCGGCCCGGUAAGUCCGCCGUGAAAGUCCAGGGCUCAACCCUGGAAUGCCGGUGGAAACUGCCGGGCUGGAGUCCGGAAGAGGCGAGUGGAAUUCCUGGUGUAGCGGUGAAAUGCGCAGAUAUCAGGAGGAACACCAAUGGCGAAGGCAGCUCGCUGGGACGGUACUGACGCUGAGACGCGAAAGCAUGGGGAGCAAACAGG
rnacentral:rRNA from 1 species